AGUGAACGCUGGCGGUAGGCCUAACACAUGCAAGUCGAACGGCAGCACAGUAAGAGCUUGCUCUUACGGGUGGCGAGUGGCGGACGGGUGAGCAAUACAUCGGAAUCUACUUUUUCGUGGGGGAUAACGUAGGGAAACUUACGCUAAUACCGCAUACGACCUACGGGUGAAAGCAGGGGAUCUUCGGACCUUUCGCGAUUGAGUGAGCCGAUGUCGGAUUAGCUAGUUGGCGGGGUAAAGGCCCACCAAGGCGACGAUCCGUAGCUGGUCUGAGAGGAUGAUCAGCCACACUGGAACUGAGACACGGUCCAGACCCCUACGGGAGGCAGCAGUGGGGAAUAUUGGACAAUGGGCGCAAGCCUGAUCCAGCCAUACCGCGUGGGUGAAGAAGGCCUUCGGGUUGUAAAGCCCUUUUGUUGGGAAAGAAAAGCAGCAGGUUAAUACCCCGCUGUUCUGACGGUACCCAAAGAAUAAGCACCGGCUAACUUCGUG
rnacentral:rRNA from 1 species